UACAGAGACUGCAAGCGUUAUUCGGAUUCACUGGGCGUAAAGGGUGCGCAGGCGGUUGGGUGUGUCAGAUGUGAAAUCCCGAGGCUUAACCUCGGAACUGCGUCUGAAACUACUCGACUAGAGUACUGGAGAGGGUAACGGAAUUCACGGUGUAGCAGUGAAAUGCGUAGAUAUCAGGAGGAACACCAGUUGCGAAGGCGGCCGACUGGACACAUAUUGACGCUGAGGCUCGAAAGCAUGGGGAGCAAACAGG
rnacentral:rRNA from 1 species